rnacentral:lncRNA from 1 species
CAUUUUCGCCUGUUUAAUUGUCGGGCUAGCCAGGGCUGCUCCCAGCUUACCUGGAAUCACUUUCAUUUAUAGUAUCCCCAUAGGUUGGCUUUAUUUUGGGUGCAUGCAGUGCUGUUGGCCGAGUUUUAAUCUAGCCUUGGGCGGGCACACUAUUGAGUUCCUUUAAUACUGCAAUGAGACAAAAAAGGCAGAGAGCUGAAGCAGGGAGGCCUUCACGGCCUGCUCGGCCUGCACAUAUCUUUCAAGCCUAAGCCUGCUACAGUUAGCAGUACAGUGAAUUCCCAGCUUACCUGGAAUCACUUUCGUUUAUAGUAUCCUCAUAGGUUGGCUUUAUUUUGGGUGAUUGCAGUGCUGUUGGCCGAGUUUUAAUUUAGCCUUGGGCGGGAGCACUAUUUUGAGUUCCUUUAAUAUUGCAAUGAGACAAAAAAGCAGAGAGCAGAAGCAGGGAGGCCAUCACGGCCUGCACGGCCUGCACAUAUCAUUCAAGCCUAAGCCUGCUACAGUUAGCAGUACAGUGAAUUGUUAAGUUUCUGUAACAUGUGACUCAUUCUCUCUAUAAGAAUGUAUCUGUUGUUUGCAGGCUCACUUGUUGCUAAUGUAUAGCUUAGGCAGACAGAGUGGAGCCAGAGGCUCUCUGUGCCUCCAAUGAGCACUCUUUGUAUGCUCUUUAACUAUGCUGUUUCUGAACAAGUUUAUUUUCUUCAAGUUUGUUUUUCCCUGAUAGUGGCGACUGCCAUUUUAGAGACAAGCCAUUGUGGCUUAGUGGCUAGAGUACAGGACUAGGACCUGGGAGACAGGGUUCAUAUCCCUCACUUAGCCAUUGUUAUAACAAGGCAAAACAAGCUGCUCCUUUUGGACUAUUUUGUUGCUGGGUAGUUUGGCCCAUUUGUGAUAUUGCUCCCAAAAAGAACUUUGGGUUUCUUGAGGAGGUGCUUCCCUCUAAAGGGCAAGCAGGGGUACCUGGACAUGCGGUGGGCUGCCUCGAGUUUGUUAUCUCAUUGGAAACAUUUAUGUCUGGCCUAGCAGGUGAUCCUAGGGCUUGGCCCGCUUGGCCCUAGAAUUUGAUGGCCUCUGGCAGCGUUUCUGGCCUGAAUAGCGUCCCCAUGUGGUGCACAAAGCAUUGGUUUCACCUGUUCCUCACAUUGUUUAGGUUUUUUCUUUUCGCAGACUAUGACAGGGCCUUUGCAGAUGCCUCCAGAGCUUGCCUCUCCUGCAGAGGAUGACUUGUUGAUGCCCCAGGUGCCUUCUUCAGGAAGGAGGCGUCUUCAGAGGCAGGAAAAAGCAUAGCAGGGAUGAUGCUUACACCUCCUUGCAGGUAAAUCAUCACUGGGCUCUGAUGAUGAUUCAGACAUCACCUUGGACCUCUCCAGGGGUCAGGGUGAGGCUGUUCCAGGUCUUUAGGGAGCAUCCUGGAUAGCUCAGCUGGUCAGCGUAUGGUGCCGGUAAUGCCUAGGUUGCAGGAUUGGUCCCUGUAUGGGACAGCUGCAUGCUCCCUCAUCACUUUACCCGGACACUGAGGUCCAGUGCCGAGGGCCUUUCUGGUGGUUCCCUCACUGUGAGAAGCCAAGUUACAGGGAACCAGGUGGAGGGCUUUCUCGGAAGUGGCACCUGCCCUGUGGUACACCCUCCCACCAGAUGUCUACUACCAGACUUUUAGAAGACAUCUAAGGCAGCCCUGUUUAGGGAAGCUUUUAAUGUUUGAUGCAUUACUGUAUUUUAAUAUUUUGUUGGAAGCUGCCCAGAGUGGCUGGGGAAGCCCAGCCAGAUGGGCGAGGUACAAAUGAGAUGAUGAUGAUGAUGAUGAUGAUGAUGAUAUUGUGGGAGAGUGGACUAGAUGAUCCUAGGAGUCCCUUCCAACCCCACUAUUCUAUAAGUGGUAAUUCACUAUGAUGGGAAUGUUAGACGCAGGGCUGCCAUCAUCCCCUUAGCUCGCUAGGAUCGCAGGGACGGGGACAUGUGGACCACUUGCGCAGCUCCACAUUUCAAAUGGAAAUUCCCUGAGCAAUAGAACCUGAAGCUGGUAUGCAGGAAGCUGGCCCGGUGGCAGCUUUGUUGGGACUUCUUUAGGGUCUCUGGCCAGUGUUGGCCCUGUAAAUUUACACAUCAUGGUGGCAACACAAGGCAGGGCUUCUUGCCCAAGCGGGGCUGGCAAGCAAUAACUCAAUACCUCUCGCCCAUAUUUCCAUAAAAAUAUCUCCCUUUAAAGCCUGGCUAAAAGGUUAUCUAGAUGCGUCAGUAGCUUUGUGCUUGUGGGAAGGGUUUUUCUCCAAGGUUUCGGGAUUCCUCUGGCUUUUCAGCCAGUGGCUCAGAAUACAGCAACUCAAAAGUCAGUUAGAGUCUGUGGUAGCCAGAAAGUCUGUGGUAGCCAGAAAGAAGGUUAGGAAGCAGCUUGCAUUGGGACGUAUGGUGGGAUCCCCUUGAUUCUCCUUCUAGUCCCGAUUUUCAUUUAUCCCCAUUGGGGAUCGUCCCUAAGAAAGCCCCAUAUAAUUCCAUCUGAUCCAUAUUUAUCGCACCCCAAAGGCACCUCAGUGAAUGAUGCUAUCCCUCCGGAAUUGUUCCGUGAAAUAUGCAUCUUUGGAUCAGGCAGUUGAGCUUACCAACAAAUUGGAGGAGGUGCCUUGUUGGCAUUAUGCGAUAUUGAAUCGGCUGUUAGGCUGCUGCCGGUUCACCCUCAAGAUUUUAAGUAGUUAGGCUUUAAUUGGAUGGUCCUUAUAUGGAUAAGGCGAUGCCAGUUGGUUGCUCAAUAGGCUGUGCAGCACUUGAGUCCUUUAGCGCCUUUCUGGAUUGAACAUUGCGAGUCAAGACUCUUUUAACUGGGGGUAUCGUUAUGUGGAUUAUUUUACUGGCUGGUUCAUGUGACACCAGCCUCUGCUUAGCUUACUAGAUGCCCCUUUAUUCCCUGAGGAGCUGGGUGUUCUGUUGGCAGUGGAGGACAGUGGCUCCUACUGCCCCUUUUAAUGUAUUUGGGGGCUAGCUGGAUACCGUUGCUCAAACAUCUGCUUGCCUGUGGAAAAGCUGUUUGCCUUGAAGGAUGUUAUUCUUGUAAUACUUCCUCUGAGGCAAGUGUUGCUUUGUCAGAUCCUAUCAUUCCUAGGUCAGUUAAAUUUUGCAUGCAGGGUGGUUGCUCCAGGCUGCCCCUUCCAUUCCUGCUUGGCCAGGUGGUCUCAUGGCCCGGUGUCCCUUCAUCAUCAUGUACAGUGGCCUUGAGCCUGGCAGGGCAAGGCAAUCACAUGUAACCUAACUUUCUUGAGUUUUCCUCAUUGUAGUGUCAGCGCACAUCUGGACUGAGGAGUUUAGGGACCGUCAGGUCUGUCUUGGUCUGAUAACCAGGCAGUGUGAGAGUCCUGGCAAAACGGUCUUCAUGCUCUGGCAGAGUCUUCGCACUGCUUAAGGUUUAAUAUUGCGUUUCUGCUCACUUUAUUUCGGGAUCAUCUAAUGUUUUUGCUGUGGCUCUAUCCCGUUUUUUCAGUUGGAGAGCUUCAGAUCCUGGGCUCUGGACACCCAGCUAUUUUUCUGGAGCUCCUGUGGCACUUGGCGACAAUUAAUAAUUAUGAGGAAUAGUAGCUUACGUUUCCCCAUCCGCUUUCAGGUCUUAUGAGAAGGCCUGGACUGAUUUCUUAAAAUUUAGCUGGUAGUCCUCGGCCAUUCAGAGGAACCUGCCCCCAUCCUCUGAGCAGGACCUGCAGUAAUUCGCCCACCUGCUGCAGAUAGGAUGCAGUGUUAAAACUAUCAGAAUUCAGUCCGCUGCAAUGUCUGCUAGAGUAAAGCUUUAAUUUUCAGAGACCCUUCUAAAAGUGUGUCAUGCGCAGGGUCUCGGAAGGUUGGAAUAGGCUCUGACCUUCACAGGACAGCAGGCAGGAAGCCGGUCAAUCUUUGACCUAUGCAGUAUCUGCAACAAGUUGAGACUUGUUGGCUGGUUCAAGAUCAAGACGAGACUUAUUUCAGUAUUCCAUUGUAAUUUUGGUGUACUGAGGGUUGGGGAAAUUGUGUUGGAGCCAGCACGGGGCUGAGAGUUUGGAGGCUUAUUGCCACAGGACUUUUCCUUAUCUGCUUUGGAGCUUGUCAUAAGUGUCUGGAGCUCUAAGUCAGACCUAGUGAGCAGGGUUGCCACCAUCAGGCUUCCAGUCACAGGUGAGGUGGGCCCUUGCCCUGUUAUUGGAUACCGGAAAUAUUUGGCUUUUCGUUCCCCUGGGGGCUGGCUCAAUCCUAGUGCACAGAAAUGGGUUCCGGUUCGACAGGCAUCUAAUUGCUCACGUCGUGCGCCAGUUAUUGCAGCCUGCGGCUUGCCUACCGCUGAACACGCCUCAUUCCUUCCAAAUAGGUGCUGCUGCAAAGGCUGCGCAUUGGGGCCUGUUAGUAGACAGGAUUGUGAAUACGGGUCAUUGGAAGUCUGACGCUGACAAAGGUUAUGUCAGGAAGCAUCGCCAAUGAUGCCUGUGCUGAUGCCUGUCUGUUAUUCCUUUUUCAUAGGAGCAGCUGUGCGCAUUUGGAUUGUCGGCCACAGCAUCAUGCACUGAGCUGGCAAGCACCCUGACGAGUCUGGACUGGGGGCGCCAUCUCGGCCUUCCUGCCCAUGUUUCUAGCUCCAGUCCGCAUCUGGAUUGUGGGGCACAGCAUCGUUUACUGGGCUGGCAUCAGAGCUAGGCAGUCUGGAAGGGGACUGGGUCUUGGCCUCCCGCAGCAUGUGCAGGUGUUGUGGAUGUCCAGGCGCAGAAUGCAGUGGAGCGAAUUCAUCCCGCUAAUUAAGCAGAGGGUGCUUCGGAUGGCCCCCAUGGCAAUUGUGGUUCAGCUGGGGGAACGAUGUGGCAACUUAUGAUUGCUUUACUUUGCGCUCCACGAUUCAGAGAGACUUGGGUGAAUUGGUGACCUUAAUACCCACAGUUAAAAUAUUUUGGUCACAAUUGCUGCAAAGGCGCAAUUGGCACGGCAUUUCUCGACCUGAGGCUGCUGAAAGGGCCAGGAAGCGCAUUAAUUCUGCAGUGUGUAAGAAGGUGGCGGAUUUGGGUGGAUUGGUUAUUUCCCGCCCGGAUAUUACCUUCAAGGCUCUGGCCCUUUACCGCAAUGAUGGAGUACAUCUCUCUGUACUGGGGAAUGAUGUUUGGUUGGAUGCGGUAACUGCAAGGUUGAAGGUUGGGUUGGGAUUGUGAGUGGUUGGCGGCGAGCGUAAAGGGCUCGAUUGGCGGUUAGGCAUUGGUUAUAAAUUGGUGGAGGAGGGGUUAGGAUAGGCUGGGCCUGCCCCUCCAUGGUUGCUGCGGAAAGGGAAUUCCGUUAAAGGAAUCCUGGGGCUUGCCAUCUUUUCGUCCAAUCCCUGGAAUGGGACUAGGGCCGGCAAGCCUUCGGGGAGCAUGCGGAUGAGAAUUGAGGGUCUGUGGCCCAGCUCCAUUUUUCUCCGACUUGCUUUCCCCC